UUUUGGUGCCUUGCCUGGGCCGGGGCGAGGCCCUGCGGGAGCCGACUGGGAAGGUUGCUGCCUUUCAGCCUCCAAACCUUCGCUCUGGCCGUUCUCUCCACCUGGAAUACCCUUCCGAGCCUCUCUUCACCUCCAUGUCAUUAACUCGCAUACAUCCUUUCAGGUAUUUCCUGAGGGCUUGUGAUUUGCCAGAUCCUGUACCAGGUGCUGGAACUUGGUGAUAGACAAUCCACAGUCUCUGCUCUGAAGACAUCCAUGCAGGUACUAACAGGUCAGCCUGGUAAAUCCUGCGAAGGCUUCAGCACAGGGUGCUGUUGGGGAAAGAGGAGAUGGGGUGUGUAGGGUAAGGGGGAAUAGCAGCUCAUUCCAGACAGGAAAAACUGGGUGCGUAGCCCAGAGGGGAGAAGACAGUCUGUGCACAAGCUCAGUGAAAGGGGAGGGAAUGUCAAGAAGGCAGCAGGAGUUGGAAGGGGCAAGGCCCUGCAGCAGAUAUGCAGUCCUGGGACCCUCAGCAUCACAGCAGCAACCUCACCUGGAGCCUUUAGAAAUGCAGUCUCAGCUGGAUUACAUACACGGGCGGUGCAGCGGAGAGCGCGGCGGC
rnacentral:lncRNA from 10 species